rnacentral:lncRNA from 1 species
AAGAGAGAGAAUUUAUUUUAUAUUUGGCACAAGAUGCACAGUUCAAUUUGUGUUAGUUUUUAUUUUAAUGUCUUUACUAUUAUUCUAUAAUGUGAAAAAUAUUAAUCGUAUAGAAUGAGGAGGUGUGUCCAAACUUUUAAAUGGUACCAAAUAUAAUUUUGUUGCAGCCGUUUAUGCGUGCAUGUGUGUGAGUAGCUCAAGGUUUGAGAUAGAGUCAUGAACGUAUAAUGUAUCAAUGUUUUCCUGGGCUACAGUCCAGCAGGUGUAUGCGGGUGAGUGAGAGAGAGAGGGUACACAGUGUGUUGGGGGGCUUUGGCUGUGCAACUAAGUAUAAAUAUUUCACCCCCUUCUCCAGUUCCCUUUUGUUCAUCAUUAUAGUGGCUCGAUGGCCAACCCCUUUAAUCCACAGCUGAACGAAUGAAAGCGAGAGAGGAAGGGAAGAGCACGUGAAGGAGAGACAGAUAUUAACAGAGACAGAUAAGCCCCAUUAAGGUUUGCAGAAUGUGAAAGGAAUGAGAAUAUAUUCUUUUUAAAAUCUUAUUAUGUGAUGUAAAGAGGAGACAAAAUGUGAAAAAGAAGAGGAUGAAAAAUGAAUGUGAGUAUAAAAAAACAUUUCUGCAAUAGUAAAAGUGUGAAUUUGUGUGUUGUGAGGCUAAUGUUGUCUUUUGUUUGAAAUGAGUCACAGCGUAUGUGUCCUGAUCUUGGGGAAAAAAAUGUCACGAUUCCGGGAAGCCCUUAAAGAGGAUGAAUCUGAAAAGAAGAACCCUAAGAUGCCUCAAAAACAAAAGAAAAAGGAGGCUGAAAAUAAGGACAAUGCAGUGAUAUCGAAGGAUAGGCUCCCUCUGAUUCGUUCAUCAAGAAAUAAAUCUGCAGCGAGGCCCUCUCUAUCCACUCCUCAGGCCGAAACGAGGAAACGCGGCCAUCCUCCCAUCUCAUCUGUGGCCCCUGACAGUAUUACACCCUGGGAAGGCUCCUCCCACUCCGAGUCGUCCUUUACCAGUUUUCCCCCUCCAGUUUCACCCCUUCCUCUUGUCCACUCGAAGCCAAUCACAGCACCAGAUCCUCCGCCCCCACCACCCCCUCCUCAAAUCACAAACACUGAACCUGACAAUAGUCAGAGUGCCAGGGUAAAACGCAAGCCGCUCCCACCAAGACACCCCUCUAGACCUCCCCGUUUGCCCCCUCUGAGGCAAGUCACAAAUCUUAGCUUUUCUCGUAGCUUCACGUUUUCGUUUUUUGAGCUGCCGGUUCACCAGUCUGCACGGAGCAGAGCGGAGCGCCUCAGAGAUCUCACUGUGUUGCUGAGGCAGUUUCAGUACUGAGGAAAAACAUGGUACUGAGAGUUCACAUCCAGG